UGGGGAAUAUUGCACAAUGGGCGCAAGCCUGAUGCAGCCAUGCCGCGUGUGUGAAGAAGGCCUUCGGGUUGUAAAGCACUUUCAGCGAGGAGGAAGGUGGUGAGCUUAAUACGCUCAUCAAUUGACGUUACUCGCAGAAGAAGCGCCGGCUAACUCCGUGCCAGCAGCCGCGGUAAUACGGAGGGUGCAAGCGUUAAUCGGAAUUACUGGGCGUAAAGCGCACGCAGGCGGUUUGUUAAGUCAGAUGUGAAAUCCCCGGGCUCAACCUGGGAACUGCAUUUGAAACUGGCAAGCUAGAGUCUCGUAGAGGGGGGUAGAAUUCCAGGUGUAGCGGUGAAAUGCGUAGAGAUCUGGAGGAAUACCGGUGGCGAAGGCGGCCCCCCUGGACGAAGACUGACGCUCAGGUGCGAAAGCGUGGGGCAGCAAACAGGAUUAGAUACCCUGGUAGUCCAGCGCUGUAAACGAUGUCGAUCUGGAGGUUGUGCCCUUGAGGCGUGGCUUCCGGAGCUAACGCGUUAAAUCGACCGCCUGGGGAGUACGGCCGCAAGGUUAAAACUC
rnacentral:rRNA from 1 species